rnacentral:rRNA from 1 species
UGGGGAAUAUUGCGCAAUGGGCGAAAGCCUGACGCAGCGACGCCGCGUGGGUGAUGAAGGCCUUCGGGUCGUAAAGCCCUGUCGCAGGGGAAGAAUAAGCAGAGGGAUAAUACCCCGCUGCCCUGACGGUACCCUGCAAGAAAGCACCGGCUAACUCCGUGCCAGCAGCCGCGGUAAUACGGAGGGUGCAAGCGUUGUUCGGAAUUACUGGGCGUAAAGCGUGCGUAGGUGGUGAGUUAAGUCUGUCGUGAAAGCCCCGGGCUCAACCUGGGAAUGGCGAUGGAUACUGGCUCGCUAGAGUGCGGUAGAGGAGAGUGGAAUUCCUGGUGUAGCGGUGAAAUGCGCAGAUAUCAGGAGGAACACCGGUGGCGAAGGCGGGUCUCUGGGCCGGAACUGACGCUGAGGAGCGAAAGCGUGGGGAGCGAACAG